GGCUCAGGACGAACGCUGGCGGCAUGCCUAAUACAUGCAAGUCGAGCGGACUUGAWGAGAAGCUUGCUUYUYUGAUGGUUAGCGGCGGACGGGUGAGUAACACGUAGGCAACCUGCCCUCAAGUUUGGGACAACUACCGGAAACGGUAGCUAAUACCGAAUAAUUGUUUUCUUCGCCUGAAGGAAACUGGAAAGACGGAGCAAUCUGUCACUUGGGGAUGGGCCUGCGGCGCAUUAGCUAGUUGGUGAGGUAACGGCUCACCAAGGCGACGAUGCGUAGCCGACCUGAGAGGGUGAUCGGCCACACUGGGACUGAGACACGGCCCAGACUCCUACGGGAGGCAGCAGUAGGGAAUCUUCCGCAAUGGGCGAAAGCCUGACGGAGCAAUGCCGCGUGAGUGAUGAAGGUUUUCGGAUCGUAAAGCUCUGUUGCCAGGGAAGAACGCUUGGGAGAGUAACUGC
rnacentral:rRNA from 1 species